ensembl:ncRNA F08A8.10 ncRNA
CUAGUGCCUUGACGCAUUUUUAUUGCCUUGGCGCAUUCCUAGUGCCUUGACGCAUUUUUAUUGCCUUGGCGCAUUCCUAGUGCCUUGACGCAUUUCUAGUGCAUUGGCGCAUUUCUAGUACCUUGGCGCUUUUCUAGUGCCUUGGUGCAAUUCUAGUGCU